rnacentral:tRNA from 1 species
ACCUGACUGGCUCCAUCGGAAGAGCAUGCGACUCUUGAUCUCGAGGGUCGUGAGUUCAAGCCCCAUGUUAGGUA